UAUAAGAGCAUGCCCAAACUGUCCGCA
rnacentral:piRNA from 1 species